rnacentral:rRNA from 1 species
CUGGCGGCGUGCCUAAUACAUGCAAGUCGAACGGUCUUUCUAUGGAAGCUUGCUUCCACUGAGAAGAUAGUGGCGGACGGGUGAGUAACGCGUGGGUAACCUGCCCAUAAGAGGGGGAUAACAUCCGGAAACGGGUGCUAAUACCGCAUAGUUUUCUUGAUCGCAUGAUUGAGAAAGGAAAGACGGCCUUUGUGCUGUCGCUUAUGGAUGGACCCGCGGCGUAUUAGUUAGUUGGUGAGGUAACGGCUCACCAAGACGAUGAUACGUAGCCGACCUGAGAGGGUGAUCGGCCACAUUGGGACUGAGACACGGCCCAAACUCCUACGGGAGGCAGCAGUAGGGAAUCUUCCGCAAUGGACGAAAGUCUGACGGAGCAACGCCGCGUGAGUGAAGAAAAGGGUUUUCGGAUCGUAAAACUCUGUUGUCAGAGAAGAACAAGUCGGAGAGUAACUGCUCCGGCCUUGACGGUAUCUGACCAGAAAGCCACGGCUAACUACGUGCCAGCCGCUGC